GCUGGCGAAUGGAGAAAGGCAGGAAGCUACAGCUUAUCCCUACUUCUCUCUAAUGACUGAAACUGCAGGGGAGCAGCACAGAGGCAGCCUACAGAUCAGGUAAGUGAGGGAUGGGGGAGAGGUAAACAGCAUAGAGGAAGGUUAAGUAAAAGGAGCAGAAAUGAGCAGAAAGGUUCGCAAGGGGCAAGAGGGGUCAGCAAGGAGUAGA